rnacentral:rRNA from 1 species
GACAGAGGGUGCAAACGUUGUUCGGAAUUACUGGGCGUAAAGCGCGUGUAGGCGGCCCUGCAAGUCGGAUGUGAAAUCCCACGGCUCAACCGUGGAAGUGCAUUCGAAACUGCAGGGCUAGAGUCCUGGAGAGGAAGGUGGAAUGCUUGGUGUAGAGGUGAAAUUCGUAGAUAUCAAGCGGAACACCGGUGGCGAAGGCGGCCUUCUGGACAGUGACUGACGCUGAGACGCGAAAAGCGUGGGGAGCGAACGAG